UUGACAAGGUGAUAUACAGAGGGGGUACAGUUAUAUAAUAAGGUAAUGAGUACAUAUCUUGUCAUAUUUAUUAUACCCUCCCUCAUUUUUCUUUCCCUGCCCUAUUUCAGGUAAGCAUAUAUUCAAUAUCCAAUGUACCAAAACUAUAUACAGUGAACAUUGGGGAUACUCU